rnacentral:rRNA from 1 species
GACGAACGCUGGCGGCGUGCUUAACACAUGCAAGUCGAACGGUGAUGCUCCAGCUUGCUGGCGUGGAUCAGUGGCGAACGGGUGAGUAACACGUGAGCAACCUGCCCCAGACUCUGGAAUAAGCGCUGGAAACGGCGUCUAAUACUGGAUACGAAACUGGCCCGCAUGGGCAUGGUUUGGAAAGUUUUUCGGUUUGGGAUGGGCUCGCGGCCUAUCAGCUUGUUGGUGAGGUAAUGGCUCACCAAGGCGACGACGGGUAGCCGGCUGAGAGGGCGACCGGCCACACUGGGACUGAGACACGGCCCAGACUCCUACGGGAGGCAGCAGUGGGGAAUAUUGCACAAUGGGCGCAAGCCUGAUGCAGCGACGCCGCGUGAGGGAUGACGGCCUUCGGGUUGUAAACCUCUUUCAGCAGGGAAGAAGCGAAAGUGACGGUACCUGCAGAAGAAGCACCGGCUAACUACGUG